rnacentral:lncRNA from 1 species
AACCCCCAAAUGAAAAUGGCAAGGGAAAAAUCGGGUGAUCUCCAACCGUUAUGCAAAAUGCCAAGUCCAUCAUCUUUUUUUUCCUGGAAAUUUUGCUUCGCGGCACUCCUUCCCACGCGGCCAAUCGAUCCCGCGCCAAACAGCCCGCCGUCGUCUCCCGUUCACCAAUUCCCGCGCCAAACAGCCGCGCAGUACCGAUCGUGAGCUGCGCAGUUCGUCGUUCCCGUUCGCAUACCGAUCUCCCGUUCUGUUAGUUCCCGUUCACCGUACCAGUUCGUCGUCUGUUGGCCAUCAGUUCGUCGUCGUACAGGUUCGCCCCUUGGCUCCAGUACCGAUCUCCAUCAGGUCCUGUUCCCCAUCAGUUUCCGGUCGCCGCCAUCAGUUCGUCGUCAAGGCAGGUCGCCGCCAUCAGUCAAGCCGUUGCAGCUCGCGAGCAGCAGAAUUUCGUGAAGCCAACAUGGGAUCGAGGGUACCGGAGAAUGGAUCUAGCCGUAUUGCACAGCGCAUCGCCAAGGUUUGAACUUCGUAGCCGAAUAUCUUGAUCCAAUUCAUGUGGUCUUUGUUCGAUGUACUGAGCUGCGCAGUUGUUAUCAGUUGCGGGCUUCAAGGUUUGAUGAAGAAGGCGUACCUGGCCGGCGUUGAUGAGGAAGGCGUCGUAGAUUCGUCCUAUCGCCGUUGCGUCGUCCUAUUGUGCGCUGCUUCAUCCAAACGCGCGCGCGAAGCUGGCGAAGGAGGACGCGUGAUGCUUCUCCUAUCGCGCGAAGUGGUGGCGGCGCGAAGGAAACUACGCGAAGGGAAGAAAAAAGCCCGCGAGGUGGAACCGAGAAUCCCGUGAUCUCUAUUUGCAUAGC